rnacentral:tRNA from 1 species
GGGCGCGUCGGUCGGCGGCACCAUGUUGCGGGCGUCGAGUUGCUUGAGCGCGAGAUCGGGAACGCCCGCGCGGCUCAGGUUCGCGCGCGCCUU